GAGCUUUCAAAAUAUUUUUAUAUAUAUAUAUUUUUUUAGGUGAUGUUCAUGUCUAUGAGUCAGUUAAAAACCCUGAAACUGCAGGAGAAGAAGAAGAAUCUGGAGAUGCUGCAUAUUCUCUCAUUGAAGUGAUGAACGUCGGACAAGAGAGGAGGCCUCAUGAGCGCACGCCUUACUCUGUACUGAAAACAGGAGAUUCAGGAGCAUGCAGUCCUGCAGCAACAGAUGAGGCCGUGUAUUCAGAAAUCGCCAUGGAGACCGCAAGCUAAGCUGGUUUAAGCUGCUAAAUAUGAGAUAAACUUUACAAUAAGAAUGUAAAGAAAGCUGCAUUCAUGAACACAAAACAUGUCAACAAUAAAACAUAAAAUCUAAGUUAAUUAGUUACUAAAUAUAGUCAGAAGUUUUGUAAUUUUGAUGAUAUAAUUGCUUAUGAAGGAUCAAUAUUGUUUUUCAGCCUGAUCUAUGAGUUUUUCAUUUAAUUUGAUUCAUGUUUGAGAAUCUGCAACAUUUGCAUUUAGGCUUUUUUGAAAGAGAAAAGUGAGAUGUGAGCUUUUGUGUGAAACUCCGGAGAUUUUUUGCGGGAUUAAAUUUAAAGCGAUGUUCCUUUCACACAUAGUAUGGAUAAAUCUCUUUUUUGUCAUUAAAUGUGAACCAUAAUUCCCAGAAUUACAAGCAAAUAAAAACAUGAAAUAUCUCACUCUGUGUAAUGAAACUGUGUAAUAUAUGAUUUUUACUUCCUGAAGUAAGUUUUCCAUGACAUUUAAAUUUUUUGAGUUGCAUUUAUAUAUCAUCACCUUCCUAAAGUCAUGGCCCAUGUCGUUUUUCUUGCCAGAAGAGAUUUUUCACUUUUGGUAAAAAACAAACAAAAAAACA